GUUUUAAAAGUUGCUCUUGUUCAACUAAUCCUAGAUGAGAUAUUGCAUCUGUUUUUAUUUCGAAAGGAUUGCACACCCAAUCAUAUUCGUUAAUAGGCAAAGAUGGGAAAUAAAUCCGGUCCUAAAUCACUUAUAUUUAGAAAGUUGACAAUAUUUACACAUAGUGUGCCGCGACUUAUAUUAAAUAAUAAUAAUGUGCCGCGAUAGCAAAAAAUUUAGGAACCGCUACUCUAUAGCAUAGAGGGGACAUAAAAACUAUAAGUAUUAGGAUUGAUAAAUUCACUAAGGAUCACAUAUACAUAUAUAUGUUACGGUAAAUGUUGUAAAUAAAUCGGUUAAU